rnacentral:rRNA from 1 species
UACGGAGGGGUCUAGCGUUGUUCGGAAUUACUGGGCGUAAAGCGCACGUAGGCGGCUUUGUAAGUUAGAGGUGAAAGCCCGGGGCUCAACUCCGGAAUUGCCUUUAAGACUGCAUCGCUAGAAUUGUGGAGAGGUAAGUGGAAUUCCGAGUGUAGAGGUGAAAUUCGUAGAUAUUCGGAAGAACACCAGUGGCGAAGGCGACUUACUGGACGAUUGUUGACGCUGAGGUGCGAAAGCGUGGGGAGCAAACAGG